CCUCUUUCUCUUUCAUUACUCUCAGCAGGCAAAACAAGAAUUUGUAAGGACAAAUCGUUUUGAGACUUUUCCCAAAUAAAACCCUAGCACCUCAUUGUAUGCUCAAUGUCAACAUCUCUUCAGCCUCUUCCAAUCUCCCUCACAGUGGACUCGCUAUCCCUUCUCCCUUAGAAAGGUAUGGCCUCUCUCUCUCUCUCUCUCUCUGUGUGUGUUUUUUAAUGGUGGGGUAAGGGUUUGCGGUAACGUGGUGGCGCUGUGGUAGGGAUGGAAUGGUGUAACGGGAGAUGCGGUGUGAGAGGAGGGCUAGUGGUGCUAUAGUAGGGAGGGAAAGGGCGGGCAUUUCAAAUUUGUGGUGGAGAAAAAGAGUAGUUUUGUGGUUAUGGAUAAGAGGGAAAGAGGCAAUGGAUCUAUGGUAGUAGAGGGUUGGAGGGGCUGUGGCAAUGGGCGGAAGGGGAAGUGUAACCAGGUGGGAUAGGGGUUCCUAAAGGGAAUGAAGAGGUUGGGGAGCUAUAAGAGGGUUGGGCGAGGGAGACGUGUAAAAGCCCUUCUUGUGUUUGAUAAAAUACCUGUGUGAAACAUUGCCCUAUUGUUGGGUAUUUUUCUCUUCUCUUCUUCUCUUCUCUUCUUAUAAUUCAUAGAAAUACUGUUGUGCUUUUGAUUAUUGGACUGAGUUGCUUAUGGUCAUUGAGAUUUUACGGGUCAAAGUUGCCACAAGAUGAAGGUAAGAAGAUUUUCUCAUUUUAUAUUAUAGUUAUUUCUGUUUGGGUGCCAAGAAAAUGCAGAAAUAAUCAAUCAAACUAUAGAAAUUUUGAGUGUUGGUGUUUCAUUAUAUGGGUUCAGUUAAAAUGAGCCUGUCUUUGGUAUUUUGGGUUAGUUUAGUUUGAUUUUGGGGGAAAAUCAAAUAAAUAGCAAACAAAUGAAUUGUUGAAGAAUGGGACACAAAUCUGAGAUAAUUUGUAUUCCAUAAUGUGAAAAUUCUGUGUCCACUUUUGAUUUACUCUUGGUUUAUAUUUCUUGUUUGGAUGGAAAAAGGUUAAUUGCACUAUUAUUGCAUUCUUAUAGUUAAAACUAAUUAAACUCUUCAUCUCAUUUAUUUUAUUUUAUUGUGACAUGGUGGCUGAUUGAUCAUCUCAAGUUUCUUGAUAAUCCAUUGUACAUUGGUGGUGACUCCUACUCUGGUUUGGUUGUUCCAUCAUUGUUCAGGAAAUUUUAACUGGUACCUUGUGUUCACAAAAACUUUUUUUCUUAUUAUUUUUACUAACUUUAUUUUUAUCUCUUAAAUUAUCUUCCUUGUUUUUUAUUUUAUCCUUAAAUUAUUAAUUUCAUCUAUUAAGUCUCUAUUUCUAAUUUCAGCUGAUGUGGUCUAAUUAGAGACAGUUGUCCAAAUCAAUAAUUGUUAAAUCCUAAUUUGAUGGGUAGAAAUGUCAUUUCAAAAAUUGAACAACUGAAACAAUAUAAUCAACCUAUGUGUUUGGCUAUAGAGUGUAAAUUGUUUAAUAUAGCAUAAGUCCAAAGAUAGGAGUUUGGUUGUGUGAUUUAUGUUGUUAAAAUUGUAAAAUUAUAUUUUGGCCCAGUUGGUUAGGUUUCUAUGAUUAUUGGUUUGGUUGAACUAUUUUCAAUUAAAUUAUAUGAAAUGAAAUCAGAAUUUUAUAGAUGAAAUUAGUAGUUUAUAAAUAGAAUAGAAAAAAUGGUAAAACUUUUCUAACUUUGCGGUGACUAACUUUGUUUUUUGUAGGUAAUGAACUUGGGCAUCAACCAACAAUGAACCUACAAUGACAGAUGUCCAUGAUGACCAAAAUUCAGCGACCCCAUAUGCUCAUCGUGUAUCACUCAUUUCAGAUGAAAUCUAUGAGUCAACUAAACAAAGUUGCUAUGGUGAAUAUAUGAAUAUAGAUCCAAACAAUGCAGCAUGUCUAUAUUAUCUUCAAAUUGUCUCUGAGAUUUGAUGAUGCAAUAGCAGCGGCUCAAAGAGCAGCAUGGCUGGACUCAAGCAGCAAGGAAGUGAACAUGGUGGUUAGGAGUACACGGGCGGUGGCAAUGGCUCUAUCCAAUGGUAACGAUUUGUUCAGGGGAUAAAGAUACUCAGAGGCUUGUGUUGCAUAUGGAGAGGGACUCGACCAUGACCCCUACAACUCGGUGUUGUUGUGCAACAGAGCCACUUGCAGGUCCAAACUUAGUCAAUUUGAGAAAGCAAUGAAGGACUGGACUGCUGCCCUUAAUGUGCGCCCAUCUUACAGGAAAGCCAGAUUAAGAAGAGUCAAUUGCUAUGCCA